GCGGGAGUGGCGGAAUUGGCAGACGCACCAGACUUAGGAUCUGGCGGGGUGACUCGUGGGGGUUCAAGUCCCUUCUCCCGCACCA
rnacentral:tRNA from 1 species